GGGCCUAUAGCUCAGCUGGUUAGAGCGCACGCCUGAUAAGCGUGAGGUCGGUGGUUCGAGCCCACUUAGGCCCACCA
rnacentral:tRNA from 1 species